rnacentral:tRNA from 1 species
GCCUUGGUAGUGUAGCUUGGUUAGCAUCGGAGGCUGUGGACCUCCUGACGGGAGUUCAAAUCUCCCCCAAGGCC